GUCGUGAUGGCUGAGUGGUUAAACGCUUUGCAUCCGAACCAAGAGGUCCUGGGUUCGAAUCUCAGUGAAGACU
rnacentral:tRNA from 1 species